AUCCAGGUGACGAGUCCCACAUAGGACGAAAUGCGCUUUGUCCUGGAU
rnacentral:hammerhead_ribozyme from 1 species